AUACUUACCUGGCAGGGGAGAUACUGGGAUGAUGAAGGUGAUUUUCACCCCACAGCAUGGCUUCUCUAUCACACUCUGAUGUGCUGACCCCUGCAAUUUCCACAAAACUUGACUGUAUAAUUUGUGGUCGUGGGGGACUGGAUUUGCACUUCUCCCUG
ensembl:snRNA U1 U1 spliceosomal RNA